rnacentral:lncRNA from 1 species
GAGGAGCCAGCGCUGUAUUUACUGCUUGGAUUGAGUCCACAGAGCAGACCUUAGCAACCAUAUUUGGAGGGGAAGACAGAGUUGAAGCAACUUAACCAGGGUUAAAGUAGGGUCAACCUAUGGAUUCAAGGUUAGCGUAGGCUGGGCACUUGGCCAACAAGCAUAAGUUUGAUUUUCUUCAAAAUAGUAACUCCUAAUGCGAAGAGGAAGAGAGUCAGUGGCGUCUGGCUGAGGGAAGAAGGAGCCUGGCUGCACCGCUGUCUGUGGUCUGUGGCCUAGGCCAGGUACAAUUGACAGCCUCCCCACACGGAGCCACUUCUUCACGACAGGACAUCAAGAUUCUGUUCAGGACACAACCAACAUGAACCAUCACACACACUGGCAUGAUCAUUGACUUGGGAUUCUUCAAGCAGCCUUUUAGACUCUUUCUGAAACAUUUUCAAAGCAUCACGUAAGUAUUAACUGAAAUGGUUCUUCAAUGGUCCCUGUUACCCUCGGCCUCUUCCCUUCCCUUCUGUAGCCAAUGCUGAGGAAUGCGCAGAGAAAUCUCUAGUCUCCACCACAGGAAGUUAAAAUUUGGCAGAGCACAAACCAGGACCUGGCAAGACCUGGCAGGACCAGCAAGGCUGGGCUUCCCCGGGCUCAAUGGCUAACCAGAAAGCUAAACUGGUCUCCCCUUCGGAAACCCCCUAUUCUACCCUCCCCACCUCUAUUAGGGUGCUCCCCCACCCACCCACUCCUGCCCUCCCGCCCUGGCAUUCCCCAUAGCUGUUUUCUAAGGAGCCUCAUCUUCCUGGCUGCCGAAACAGCAUCACCCUGCACAAUACCUCUUCAGUCACAAUGCAGCACACAAUUAAACGGCAUUGAUGCCACACAGCAGCAAUACGUGCCACUUAAAACAAGCCACUCUGAGCAAAUGACUACUUUGAAUGCAGCGGACAGAAGAGUAUUCCUGAGCACCCCAUUCACCCAGAAGCAGCAUGUAAGUAAAUCUGUGCAAGUUUCCCCUUCCCUCUACCGGGAAGGGUAGGUGUCUGUUACUAGAAACAGCACUAGCCCUGUGUCUGCUCACAAGCUACUCCAUUAGGACUACCCAGAUUAGAAGGAAUGGACAGGGCCUGCUCCAGUUUGGGCUCAGGGACAGAGGGGGUAAGGAAGAAGGCAUUCUGAGUGGGAUGCAGACAACAGGUAGCUGUGAGAAAUCUAAAAGGGGUUAUGGAGUGAGCAGAGAAUAAAAGGUCGGCCCAAAGAUGAGAACCUGAGCGAAGACAAGUGGCUUAAAGCUAAAAGGCUGGCAAUAGUCAGCCAUGCCCUGAGCAGACCAGACAUGCCCUCAACAGGCCAAACAUGCCCUGCAGACCAGCCAUGCCCUGAGCAGACCUUGCCCUCCUCGGCAGUCUGCACGGCCUUGGCUGCUCCUGCUGCAGCCAUCAUACCUGCUCUGACAGCUGGCUCCCUCUCCAUGAGUUCUGCAUUCACAGAUUCAGCCAAGCAUGGUGUGAAAGGCAUAGCUAUCUGUGCUGCAAACACACAGGUUUUUGCCACCCUGGGAAGUCAUGUGUGUGUGGUUUGAUACUUGUGUGCACAUGUGUGGAUGCAUAAGGGUGGAGGCCAGGGGUAGAUGUGAGGUGCCUCCCUCCAUGAUUCCCACCUUACUUUCUGAGACAAGGUGUCUCAGGGAAUCUGGAGCUCGUCUGUUUGCGAAGUUUGGCUGGCCACUGAGCUUCAGGACCCUUCCUGUCCUACCCGUGUGGUUCCACACCAGCACUGUGCCGCAGACUUGUGCCUGGCCCUGACAUUGGUGCCGCAAUCUGAACUCAGACUCUCAUGCUUUCACGUCAGGUACCAUACCAACCCAACCGCCUUCCUAAACCAUGUCAUUGUGUCUCACACCUGCAUGAUUCACAUUCACACCAUGUGAGGUGUUCUAAGCUGCCCAGAACUGGCUUGCAGGGCUCAGGACAGGAAAAGCUUGGGUGCAGCCUCCAGUUUUAUCCCCCCAGGUCUCACAACUAACUCCUUGUAAAAAGAGGGACAACUGUCCUCUCACAUCUGUCCCUUGCUUGGGAUCUUCUCAGAGUGCUUGGUGUAGCCAUGGUCCUGUGCAUCUGUACUUGGGGAGUUCAGAAGCACCCAAGUCCUAGAUUCCUCUUCAUCUGCAUCCCUGUUUUCAUUUGCCCCUUGGUUGCCAGGAGAGUACAUGUGGCCCCUGACACUACACAAACUCACCUCUCCACCCAAUUAGCUCUGACCACUGCCAGCUCUUAGACUGGAAGUCUUGGGUCAUUUUUGAGGUUUUUCUUUUUCUCUGGUGUUAAGAAUGCCACAGGACUGUUAUAAUGCUACAAAAAUUUUACAUCUCCUUUAGUCUUUUAAAAUUAUUUCAUAAUAGAAACAGUCAUUAAGUCUUCCAACCAAAAAAAAAAAAGCCCAGGACCAGAUGGGUUUAGUGCAGAGUUCUAUCUGAUCUUCAAAGAAGACCUAAUACCAAUACUCUUCAUACUAUUCCACAAAAUAGAAACAGAAAGAACACUACCCAGGUCAUUCUAUGAAGCCACAGUUACACUGCGUAUUCCCCCUUAGAGAUGGAAUGGAUUCUGUCCAAUCAGGAACCUGUCACAAUUUCCUUUCAUAAAGGACUUCAUAAGAGAUUUUUUUUUCUACUUCUAUCAUGUUUAAUAUUCCAAAUAGACUUAAAAAACUGGUAGAGUGCAUAUUACUUUUAGCUUCAGAUGAUAUCAUGUAUAUUUAAGAGGC